rnacentral:rRNA from 1 species
GAUCAUGGCUCAGGAUGAACGCUAGCGACAGGCCUAACACAUGCAAGGUCGAGGGGCAGCGAGAGGAAAGCUUGCUUUCUUGUCGGCGACCGGCGCACGGGUGAGUAACGCGUAUGCAACCUGGCUACUGCUACGGGAUAGCCUUGCGAAAGUAAGAUUAAUACCGUAUGUGCUGAGUUUAGACAUCUUUAUUCAGUGAAAGAUUUAUCGGCAGUAGAUGGGCAUGCGUCUGAUUAGUUAGUUGGCGGGGUAACGGCCCACCAAGGCGACGAUCAGUAGGGGUUCUGAGAGGAAGGUCCCCCACAUUGGAACUGAGACACGGUCCAAACUCCUACGGGAGGCAGCAGUGAGGAAUAUUGGUCAAUGGACGGAAGUCUGAACCAGCCAAGUCGCGUGAAAAGGAAGACGGUUCUAUGGAUUGUAAACUUCUUUUGCUCGAGGGUAAAGUGUGGUACGUGUACCAUAUUGCAAGUAUCGAGUGAAUAAGCAUCGGCUAACUCCGUGCCAGCCGCCGC